rnacentral:rRNA from 1 species
UACGAAGGGGGGCUAGCGUUGCUCGGAAUCACUGGGCGUAAAGCGCACGUAGGCGGCUUCUUAAGUCAGGGGUGAAAUCCUGGAGCUCAACUCCAGAACUGCCUUUGAUACUGAGAAGCUUGAGUCCGGGAGAGGUGAGUGGAACUGCGAGUGUAGAGGUGAAAUUCGUAGAUAUCUGGAGGAACACCGGUGGCGAAGGCGGCAUCCUGGACCGACACUGACACUGAGGAGCGAAAGCCAGGGGAGCAAACGGG